rnacentral:rRNA from 1 species
AACGAACGCUGGCGGCAUGCCUAACACAUGCAAGUCGAACGAGACCUUCGGGUUUAGUGGCGCACGGGUGCGUAACGCCUGGGAACUUGCCCUUAGGUUCGGAAUAACUCCCCGAAAGGGGUGCUAAUACCGGAUAAUGUCUUCGGACCAAAGAUUUAGCGCCUUUGGAUGGGCCCGCGUUGGAUUAGCUAGUUGGUAGUGUAAAAGCCUACCAACGCGACGAUCCAUAGCUGGUCUGAGAGGAUGAUCAGCCACACUGGGACUGAGACACGGCCCAGACUCCUACGGAGGGCAGCAGUGGGGAAUAUUGGGCGAUGGGCCCUAGCCUGAUCCAGCAGUGACGCGUGAGUGAUGAAGGCCUUAGGGUUGUAAAGCUCUUUUACCCGGGAUGAUAAUGACCGUACCGGGAGAAUAAGCUACGGCUAACUCCGUG